rnacentral:misc_RNA from 1 species
GAUGAAGAACGUAGCGAAAUGCGAUAAGUAAUGUGAAUUGCAGAAUUCAACGAAUCAUCGAAUCUUUGAACGCACAUUGCGCCCGCCAGUAUUCUGGCGGGCAUGCCUGUUCGAGCGUCAUUUCAACCCUCAAGCACCCUGUGCUUGGUGUUGGGGCACUACGCAACCCUGCUGUAGUCCCCUAAAGCCAUCGGCGGGCUCGCUAUAACCCCGAGCGUAGUAAUCUACAGCAGCUCCGGGCGUGUUAUGGCGGGAUCUUGCCGCAAAACCUGCUGUCCCCCGGGACGCAUACCAAGGUUGACCUCGGAUCAGGUAGGAAUACCCGCUGAACUUAAGCAUAUCAAUAAGCGGAGGA